GCAGAGAGCGAGGUGGACGGGCCGGCUCCUGCCCCUUGUCCCCAGUGUCUGCUCAGGAGCCACUUGAGGAGGAGUGGCAGGCAGCUCGUGCCUCCUGGAGCCCGUCUGCCCCACGCUGCUCAGAGACAUGUCAUAACAGGUUCCCGGAGUGCUUCCUCGCCAUCUGUCUCUUGCGCUAGAUGACAGCGCGGGCUGGCAGAGAUGCGUUCAAUUUGCAAUUGGGACAGGAGAUGGUUUGAUAACAUGUGAGGAUCCCAGCCUUCUCAUCCUGCCCACCAAAGUGGAUCUGGCUCUUACCCCACUGUCCCUGCUCCCAAGACAGACUGCAGGGUUCUGCCUUUGUCACUUUGGCUCCAGGAUUUGGCACAAAGACAAGUAAGAAUAAAGGUGGGCCAUGACUAUCGCCA
rnacentral:lncRNA from 1 species